GACGAACGCUGGCGGCGUGCCUAAUACAUGCAAGUUGAGCGCUGAAGGUUGGUACUUGUACCAACUGGAUGAGCAGCGAACGGGUGAGUAACGCGUGGGGAAUCUGCCUUUGAGCGGGGGACAACAUUUGGAAACGAAUGCUAAUACCGCAUAAAAACUUUAAACACAAGUUUUAAGUUUGAAAGAUGCAAUUGCAUCACUCAAAGAUGAUCCCGCGUUGUAUUAGCUAGCUGGUGAGGUAAAGGCUCACCAAGGCGAUGAUACAUAGCCGACCUGAGAGGGUGGUCGGCCACAUUGGGACUGAGACACGGCCCAAACUCCUACGGGAGGCAGCAGUAGGGAAUCUUCGGCAAUGGACGAAAGUCUGACCGAGCAACGCCGCGUGAGUGAAGAAGGUUUUCGGAUCGUAAAACUCUGUUGGUAGAGAAGAACGUUGGUGAGAGUGGAAAGCUCAUCAAGUGACGGUAACUACCCAGAAAGGGACGGCUAACUACGUG
rnacentral:rRNA from 1 species